AUUGAACGCUGGCGGCAUGCUUUACACAUGCAAGUCGAACGGCAGCGCGGGCUUCGGCCUGGCGGCGAGUGGCGAACGGGUGAGUAAUACAUCGGAACGUGCCCAGUAGUGGGGGAUAGCUCGGCGAAAGCCGGAUUAAUACCGCAUACGACCUGAGGGUGAAAGCGGGGGAUCUUCGGACCUCGCGCUAUUGGAGCGGCCGAUGGCGGAUUAGCUAGUUGGUGGGGUAAAGGCCUACCAAGGCGACGAUCUGUAGCUGGCCUGAGAGGACGACCAGCCACACUGGGACUGAGACACGGCCCAGACUCCUACGGGAGGCAGCAGUGGGGAAUUUUGGACAAUGGGCGAAAGCCUGAUCCAGCAAUGCCGCGUGUGUGAUGAAGGCCUUCGGGUUGUAAAGCACUUUUGGCGGGAACGAAAAGGACUGUGCCAAUACCACGGUUCGAUGACGGUACCCGCAGAAUAAGCACCGGCUAACUACGUG
rnacentral:rRNA from 1 species